rnacentral:lncRNA from 1 species
AGAGCAAGACUCCAUCUCGAAUAAAUAAAUAAAUAAAUAAAGCUUAAUGGGGGCCAUUGGGUGCAGUGGCUCACAUCUGUAGUUCCAGCACUUUGGGAAUCCAAGGCAGAAGGAUGACUUGAGGCCAGGAGUUUGAGACUUGGCUUGGGCAACAUAGUGAGACUCCAUCUCUACAAAAAGCUUGAAAAUUCGCCAGGCAUGGGGACUUGUGCCUGUAGUCCCAGCUACUCAGGAGAGAGGCUGAGGCGGGAGGAUUGCUUGAGUCCAGGAGUUUGAGGCUGCAGUGAGCCAUGAUCAUGCCACUGCACUCCAGCCUGGAUGACACAGGGAGGCCCAAUAUCAAAAAAAAAAAAAAAAAAAAAGUAAAGGAAGUUAAAUGGGGUGAGUGGGCAGAGCUAUCGGCACGGAGCCUCCCAUACAGAAUGUGCUCAGUGUUCAUUGAAUCGGAAUCUUUGGCUGCUUUGUUGAAACCUUUGAGCCGAGUUCCCCUGCCGGAGCCAAGCAGAGACAUGCCUGUACUUCAGCUGGAAGCCCAGCAAUGAGGAAAUAAAUCCUCAUGCACAUUAUUCCUGAGUAAAAGUUCUCCUGGGACAUGGCUUGCUCAGAGCCCUCUCAUUCCACAGCCAGCAUGCUGCACAGACUUCAGCAGCCCACCUCUGGCUCACUCGCUCACUUGCUGGCAGGCUGGCUCAUCCUCCAGGGGCAAGAGAAGGAGAGAGGAAAGGAAAUGGAAAAGUCUCUGAUGUGUCAGGGAGCCUGCCGGCCGCUGGUGAGCAUCACGGAGUCCUAAAGCCCCACCUGCCAAAUCAGCAGCCCAGUUCUCUGCCCGUGCUUGUAAUUAGUCUGUCUGAGCAUUUAGGGCAGCCCUGGGGAACAGAAAGGGUGGGCAGGAGGAGCUGGCGUAGGAGCACCUGAGGCUGGGGCUGCAGAGCAAAGCAGAGGGGAGCCACCUGAGAGGACCCCUGUCCAGGGGGAAGGGAGCAGCAGGGACCCAUGCCCUGACAUCCUGUCUGGAGACAUGGCCUUCGGAGAGCCUGGCGGCACUAGCUGAACUGCCCACUGGCCUCUGACACCACAGCACUAGUCAGGACCUGGUUCCAGCCAGCCUGGACCAUUUACUAGCUGUGGGACUGAAACUCGGGGAGGCAGAGGCAAGGGAUCAAUUUCCUCAUCUGUAAAAUGGGAAUAAGCAACAUCUGCCAAGGCCAUCGAUGUGGACAUCGUCCUGAAAUGGACAGCCUUCCCUGCCUCUGAGAUGGCUCCGUGAAAUAGAAGCUGUGGACGUCGUCCUGAAAUGAACAGCCUUCCCUGCCCUUCGAGCAGAGCUGCCGUGGGUCUUUGAAGCAGACAGUGAGCCUCAAAAGUGGAUCGUUUUAAUACCUCCCUUCUGAAGAGGAAAGUCUGUGCUGCGCCUUCUUCCUCCCUCUGUGUGCUCGUCCUGCCCCUGCCAGCAGCCCCAUCCACGUUCAGGGAGGCAGGGAGGAAGGGAGUCCAGGCUGGCCAAAGGCCUUGGGGCCAGCAGACACUUCCAGAAAAGACCAUAUGGAAGAGUUGUGAAGAUGGACAGUGGUGACAGCUACACAACAAUGUGAAGGUUUUCACACGCACUGCAGAGUUUCCAGAGAUAAAGCCCCACAACCAGAGAUGGCAAAGCACCUCCUUUCUCUGCCUCCAGAGAGGAGAAUUCAGCCGAGCAGGAAACUACGGAGUCUCUGAUUGGCUUCUGAGAGCUGGAGCAGUUUGUGAGUGUCAGGGACCCAGGAACCUCAGCCCCAGGCUGUCAUUCCCUUCGGCUUCUGGCUCAGUCCUGCUGCAUCUUAUAAGGCCCCUGGGUGAACUAGGGGCUGGGAGGUGGUGCGUUACCCCUAGAGCAGCUGGGCCCACAGGCUCACCAGGCUGAGGGAGUGUGGCCUCACGAUCAAGAGCAGGGGAUUUUGAGGUCAGACAGGACUGGGAGCAAAUCUCAGCCCUGCAGCUUCCUGCUGUGGGACUGUAGAUAAAUGACUGGGUUUCUCUGGGCCUGCAAAGCUCUCAAUAAACAGGAGCAGCCAGCAGCAGGACUGGAGUCCACAGGUGAUCUGUCUCUGACCUCAGGUGUCCACAACCAUCCUCUCAGAAGACAGGCAAGCAAGGCAGCUCUCCUGCCCCUCAGCACUGGCCACGCUGGGACACAGUGGGACACCAGGACUUUAAGCCAUCCUUUAGGCCAAAGAAUCCCCACAUAACAAAUUCAUUGUGUGCAAUAAAGAACUUGGCUGCACCCCUAUCGGGGCGUUUGAGAUCCAAAUUGCUGCCUUGGCACUUUGGAGACACAGAAAGGAGAAAUGAGCUCAGGGUCUCUGGGAAAAGCCCUUUAAACCUGCUUGAGAAAUCAGAUUUGUCUGGCUGCGGCUCAUCUGCCCUCCAGGUCUGGAAUAAGGGGAAGGGACUCUGGAGGGCUGUCUGACAGGCAUGGAAAGCAGUGGGCAAGGGAGGGCAAGGUUUAGGGAAAGAGGGUGACAGGGUGGCAGGAUGGUUCAUGCCUGUAAUCCUAGCACUUAGGGAGGCUGAGGUGGGAGG